UACGAAGGGGGCUAGCGUUGUUCGGAAUUACUGGGCGUAAAGCGCGUGUAGGCGGGUCUUUAAGUCAGGGGUGAAAUCCCACGGCUCAACCGUGGAAGUGCACUCGAAACUGCAUAGCUAGAGUCCUGGAGAGGAAGGUGGAAUGCUUGGUGUAGAGGUGAAAUUCGUAGAUAUCAAGCGGAACACCGGUGGCGAAGGCGGCCUUCUGGACAGUGACUGACGCUGAGACGCGAAAGCGUGGGGAGCAAACAGG
rnacentral:rRNA from 1 species